AAAAUAAUAAAGAAAAAAAAAUCUGCCAUAUUAUCAUAAUGGCUUGAUCAAUGUUCAUAUUCCUAAUUUAUUCAUGUCAUAGAUGAAGUUAUAAUGUACAAGAACAGCAUUUUGAUUUCACUGAAGAAUACUGCUGCAAAGAAAAAUAAAAUGUUUUCGAUAUAAACUUGGAUACUUAAGCUUGCGCAUGGUUACACAACAUUACAAGGAGAUCAAGGAA
rnacentral:misc_RNA from 1 species